GACCCGGUGGCGGAGACGGCCGGUCUUCCUCCGGCCGGUUCCGGGAUCAUCGCCCCGGCCGGGUCG
rnacentral:tRNA from 1 species